UAACACAUGCAAGUCGAACGGAGAUAUGAUUUCGGUUAUAUCUUAGUGGCGAACGGGUGAGUAACGCGUGAGCAACCUGACCUUCAGAGGGGGAUAACACUUGGAAACAGGUGCUAAUACCGCAUAAGACCACGACCCGACAUCGGGAUGCGGUCAAAGGAGCAAUCCGCUGAGGGAGGGGCUCGCGUCCCAUUAGAUAGAUGGCGGGGUAACGGCCCACCAUGUCGACGAUGGGUAGCCGAGCUGAGAGGCUGAUCGGCCACACUGGAACUGAGACACGGUCCAGACUCCUACGGGAGGCAGCAGUGGGGAAUAUUGGCAAUGGGCGCAAGCCUGACCCAGCAACGCCGCGUGAGGGAAGAAGGCCUUCGGGUUGUAAACCUCUGUCCUUGGUGACGAAACAAAUGACGGUAGCCAAGGAGGAAGCCCCGGCUAACUACGUG
rnacentral:rRNA from 1 species